rnacentral:rRNA from 1 species
AGCGAACGCUGGCGGCAGGCUUAACACAUGCAAGUCGAACGCCCCGCAAGGGGAGUGGCAGACGGGUGAGUAACACGUGGGAACGUACCCUUUGGCUCGGAAUAACUUGGGGAGACUCAAGCUAAUACCGGAUAAGCCCUUAUGGGGAAAGGUUUACUGCCGAAGGAUCGGCCCGCGUCUGAUUAGCUAGUUGGUGAGGUAAUGGCUCACCAAGGCGACGAUCAGUAGCUGGUCUGAGAGGAUGAUCAGCCACACUGGGACUGAGACACGGCCCAGACUCCUACGGGAGGCGGCAGUGGGGAAUAUUGGACAAUGGGGGCAACCCUGAUCCAGCCAUGCCGCGUGAGUGAUGAAGGCCUUAGGGUUGUAAAGCUCUUUUACCCGGGACGAUAAUGACUGUACCGGGAGAAUAAGCCCCGGCUAACUUCGUGCCAGCCGCCGCAGUAA